rnacentral:rRNA from 1 species
UACGGAGGAUGCGAGCGUUAUCCGGAUUUAUUGGGUUUAAAGGGUGCGCAGGCGGAGGUGCAAGUCAGCGGUCAAAUUGCGGGGCUCAACCCCGUACUGCCGUUGAAACUGGCAGUCUCGAGUUGGAAAGAAGUAUGCGGAAUGCGCGGUGUAGCGGUGAAAUGCAUAGAUAUCACGCAGAACUCCGAUUGCGAAGGCAGCUUACUAAGCCAUAACUGACACUGAAGCACGAAAGCGUGGGGAUCAAACAGG